GACGAACCGUGCCUAACGUUGUUCGGAAUCACUGGGCUUAAAGGGCGCGUAGGCGGGUUCCCAAGUCGGUGGUGAAAUACUUUCGGCCCAACCGGAAAACAGCCCGCCGAUACUGGGAGUCUUGAGGGAGGUAGGGGUCGAUGGAACUUCCGGUGGAGCGGUGAAAUGCGUAGAUAUCGGAAGGAACGACCGGUGGCGAAGGCGGUUCUCUGGGCAUU
rnacentral:rRNA from 1 species